AUGAAAAUAAGAAAAUUUAUAUACGUAAUAUAAAAGAAACGAAACUUACGAAACUAACGAUCAGGCGAGGAUGUUGAAAAUUCCAGUGGAGAUAACGCAACGUGCUGGACUUGGCCUUGCACGCUUGUUCGACUCUUCGAGUGCACACGCAUAAUAUUCUACGUGCAAUUAUUUGUGAUGCUAUGGCCCGGGAACACCUGUUGAAUAGGAACACGAAUAUAGGGCGUCCAUAUAAUUUCGUCAUAUGAAAACUUG